rfam:Capsicum annuum cultivar Zunla-1 unplaced genomic scaffold scaffold65439, whole genome shotgun sequence
ACGACCUUACUUGAACAGGAUCUGUUCUAUAGGCUCGUACCACUGUAUCCUUGACUUCUAAGGAGACAGGAAACUAAGUCUGGUGGAUGAAUUGAAGCCAUGAGACUAGAGCGUGAUUAACUGGCCUCCAUUACCUUUGGGUCAUGGUGUUGUAGAUGAUCGUUCUCAGCUUGGUUCGCUGGGCUUGAGGUGGUCUCGUGGCUGUCUGACAGACU